ACCAAAUCGCAUGAGUUAGCCCGAACAAUACCUGUAUUAAUAAGACCGUUUCCUAACUGUUGCGAUCAUAAUAACUUGAGUCUUCGAAGCAGACCGUCAGGUCAUAAUAAUAGUAACUGUAUCGUUAUUCCCAGGUGAUCUCGUGUUCGUAUUUUAGCCAAUCAGCGCUCAGAAAGGGUUGUCCGAAUAGAAAUCCAUUUUGAUGUAUUCAGUCAAUUAUAUCUUUCGUUAUUCUUUAUGAAACUAGUUGAAAUUUCGUAAGUAUGUUUGGCUAUGAGAACUAUAGCUCUGACAAAAAUAUGGAAUCGAAAUAAAGUAUAUUACAGGAGAUAUUCAGUUGUUUUAAGGGACCGGUCAUUGUUUAUGGCAGGGGUGGGGGCCGAAGAGAAAAUGGUGGGGUAACUGAAAAAUAAUAGUUGCUUUAGGUGGGGUGGCCAAAAAAUCCUUGCAUGCAGAGGUGGGGUAAAAAAAAUUACCUUACUUUAAUCACACACAAUACAAUAUAUACUACAAUCAGAGUUUAAUAUGUGAUUAUUCUAAUUUUUUAAUAAAAUAUUAUUGCUUUCCAAAACGUUGACAGAAACACACCCCUCAAC